GGGAGAAGUAGUUACAACAACCAUAUAAUAAACAUUCAAAACAUUUACAGUUCAUGUGUAACAGACAAUAUACAAAUGUGUUCAUCUGGAUUUCUGUUCAAAAUUGCAAAAAAAAUAAGCAUUGAAAUGAUGUGCUAAUAUGAUCAAGGUUAUACAUGAAGCCUGAAAAUCACUGAGAAUGAAUAUCCUCCCCUGUUAUAGGGGGUUACUGUAGCUCAGAGCAGCACAUCUACUGCUCAUAAGGUUAGUGGCUGAAUCUCGGGCUCCUCCAGUCUUCAUGCCAAACAUCUCUGGGCAAGAUACGGUCAGCAAAUUGCUCUCCGAUUUAAGUCGGGUGGUCCCUCCCUAUAUCACGGCCUCACUAUUUCGCAGAUUUUUUGUGCCAUUUUGCAUACGGUUUUCUUUACUUUUCUUUCUUUCUUUUUCUUUUUUUUUUUUUUUUUUUACAGCGCAUUGUGUUCUGACUCCUGAUUGGCUGUAGACCAUUGUCAAUCACUCUCGUGCUGUGUCUCCUGUACAGGACAGAGUGCAUUCAGCUCGUCAAAUUUACAUAAACCUUCGUUCGCUGCAGUGUGACUCUUAAGUGCUGGACUGUAUGUUUGUAAGUUUUCUCCCCAACAAACAUCACCUGCGGGCAUAGCUGGACUGCCGGUGGGCCGAUGGUGAUUUUUCGUUUUUAUGGACCGAUGGGUUUUUUUUUCUUGUAUAAACAAUGAGAGGUGGUGGACUGGCCAGAUGCUGGCUGAUGUGUAAAAAUAACUGAGUUGUUUGGUGGUGGCUGUGGCGGAGCUUCCACAGAGGCCAGUGUGAUAGAUUGAUUAUUUGUUGAAGUUCAUAAUGGAGUAAAAAGUUGUGGUUAAAAGUUACCCAAUAUAUUAUUCAAUUUAUUUCAAAUAUGUAAAUGUAUAAACAAGGGUAAAAGAAGUCCCAUUAAGAGACGUAAUGUAACACAGCCUAAAAUAGAGUUCAUGACUAUGUUCAACCGGAUAAUAAUCCUUAAUGUGACUACAACCUGUGUAACAUUCAAUCUGUG
ensembl:lncRNA